GAAGGUUGACGGUACCAGAUGAAUAAGCACCGGCUAACUCCGUGCCAGCAGCCGCGGUAAUACGGAGGGUGCAAGCGUUAUCCGGAUUCACUGGGUUUAAAGGGUGCGUAGGUGGGCAGGUAAGUCAGUGGUGAAAUCUCCGGGCUUAACCCGGAAACUGCCAUUGAUACUAUCUGUCUUGAAUACCGUGGAGGUGAGCGGAAUAUGUCAUGUAGCGGUGAAAUGCUUAGAUAUGACAUAGAACAGCAAUUCCGAAGGCAGCUCACUACCCGAAUAUUGACCCUGAGGCACGAAAGCGUGGGGAUCAAACAGGAUUAGAUACCCUGGUAGUCCACGCCCUAAACGAUGAUACUCGAC
rnacentral:rRNA from 1 species